GUGCUCUCUAGGGCAGCAAAUAAUCUAAAAUCCCAAUGAUACAGAGAAGAUGAGGACGGCCCUGGUGCGAGGAUGACAGGUGGAUUCAUGAAGCGUUCUGUAUUUUU